CACGCAUGCGCGGAGGCAGAGCCCCAGGACCGCGAGACUAUCCGCACAGCUUCUCCUCAGGCCCCACAGCUAGAACCCCAAAUCGCCUAGUCCCAACCCAUGCACUCUCUAAUCGGCGCCACACGACGGGCCUUCCCCACAACCUCAUCUGCUUGGGGACGUAAAGGGCUCUGUGGGGGAGCUGCAGCUUUCGUGCCCAUCUGUUAAAGGCCAGAACUUCCCAUCUCUGAAAUGCGGGAGGGAACAGAGCUCAAGCUUGAAUAACUGAGCGCGGCCCGGCAGUCCCCCAAGUGAAGAUUCACCAGAGAAUAAGCCUGAUGGAAGUCUGGAGAUAACAGGACUCCCAACCAGCAGAUGUGAAACCUGAAAUUAGUGAUUUGCCAAAGGAAAUGAUGAGCUGUGAUCCCAGAUUUCAUCUCAAGUAUAAAGUAAUGAAGUGAGAAGAUUGAUGUUGAAAGGGACCUUGGAGGGCAUUUUAAUAUCUACCUUUUGAAAUGAAAAACAAAAUAAAACAAGAGAUUCUAUAAUAAUUCAAUGCCAACUGAAUGCAAUACACUCUUUCAGAUGUUGCAAAGAAAGCUGUACAUUGAGAUCAUCUGGAAAACUUUAAAACCUGCUGAUAUUUGAGCUCUACCCCAAGAAAUUCUGAUGUAAUGUGGAUGAAAACCUGGGCAUUGGGUCUCAUAAUAUCUCCUCCGGGUGAUUAUAAUGAGCAGCAGACUUGGCAUCCACUGGUGGGAUGCGUCUGAAUACAACAGUACCAUUUAUCUCCAGGGCAUACGUUCCAACAUCUCCAGUGAAAGCCUGAAACCAGUUCCAAACCUGACUGGCAUCAUUUGGAACACGUUUCUGUUCGUCUCUCCCAUACAGAAAUUUAAUGCCUUUUCCAUCCUAAUUAAGCGCUUAUCAUGUACUGCGGCUGUAACUUGUGCAGUUUGAAGGGCCACAGCAAAACUAGCAGGAAUUUUUUUCUUCUUUCAUGGAUCGAACGUUCUUUCUUACCAUAGAUCUUAGCAAACUCGGCAUAUGAUUUUUUUUCUUUCUCUAUUAAGUUGAAAACUUUCACCUUUUCACUUAAAGGAAACACUUUACGGCUUCUCUUUGGAAAACCCGAAUUGCCAGCAUCACUACUCUUGUGCUUUGGGGCCGUUAUGAAGUAAAAUAAGAGUUCCUUGAGCACACAGCACUUUGAUGCCCAACAGGUGAUCUGAUAACCUAGACGGUCACUAAGUGACUAAUAGUAGGUGGUGUAGACAACGUGGAGAUGCUGGACAGUGGGAAGAUUCACUCCCUUGGUGAGAUGGAGCAAAGAUGGCAUGAGAUUUCAUCGCGCUACUCAGAACUGUGUGGAAUUUCAAACUUAUCAAUUGUUUAUUUCUGGAAUUUUCCCUUCAGUGAAACCAAGGAAAGCAAUAUCACAGAUAAAGGGGAUUUCCGAAUAUAUAAACAAAAAGCAUUUACUGAAUACAAGAAUAAACUAUUUCUGCUCCUC